rnacentral:rRNA from 1 species
CCUACGUGGUGCAGCAGUGAGGAAUAUUGGUCAAUGGGCGCGAGCCUGAACCAGCCAAGUAGCGUGAAGGAUGACUGCCCUACGGGUUGUAAACUUCUUUUAUAAAGGAAUAAAGUGAGGCACGUGUGCCUUUUUGUAUGUACUUUAUGAAUAAGGAUCGGCGAACUCCGUGCCAGCAGCCGCGGUAAUACGGAGGAUCCGAGCGUUAUCCGGAUUUAUUGGGUUUAAAGGGAGCGUAGAUGGGUUGUUAAGUCAGUUGUGAAAGUUUGCGGCUCAACCGUAAAAUUGCAAUUGAUACUGGCAGUCUUGAGUACAGUUGAGGUAGGCGGAAUUCGUGGUGUAGCGGUGAAAUGCUUAGAUAUCACGAAGAACUCCGAUUGCGAAGGCAGCUUACUAAACUGCCACUGACAUUGAUGCUCGAAAGUGUGGGUAUCAAACAGGAUUAGAUACCCCUGUAGUC